GACGAACGCUGGCGGCGUGCUUAACACAUGCAAGUCGAGCGGAGCGGCGAACGGGUGAGUAACGCGUGAGUAACUGCCCCCCUCUCUGGGAUAACAGUUGGAAACGGCUGCUAAUACCGGAUAGUGGGGGAUGACUCGCGUCCUAUCAGCUUGUUGGUGGGGUAGUGGCCUACCAAGGCGACGACGGGUAGCCGGCCUGAGAGGGGGACCGGCCCCAUGGGGCUGAGGUACGGCCCAAACGCCAACGGGGGGCAGCGGUGGGGAAUAUGGCACAAUGGGGGCAACCCUGAUGCAGCAACGCCGCGUGCGGGAUGAAGUCCUUGGGGGGGUAAACCGCUUUCAGCCAUUACGCGGUAGUGGCAGAAGAAGCACCGGCUAACUACGUGCCAGCAGCCGCGGUAAUAC
rnacentral:rRNA from 1 species